GACUACAGGGGUAUCUAAUCCUGUUUGCUCCCCACGCUUUCGCACCUGAGCGUCAGUAUUGGACCAGAAGGCCGCCUUCGCCACUGAUGUUCCUCCAGAUAUCUACGCAUUUCACCGCUACACCUGGAAUUCCGCCUUCCUCUUCCAUACUCGAGCUCCGCAGUCUCGAAUGCAGUUCCCAGGUUGAGCCCGGGGAUUUCACAUCCGACUUACGAAGCCGCCUACGUGCGCUUUACGCCCAGUAAUUCCGAUUAACGCUCGCACCCUCUGUAUUACCGCGGCUGCUGGCACAGAGUUAGCCGGUGCUUCUUCAUUAGGUAACGUCAGCCUGCAGGGGUAUUAGCCCUGCAUAUUUCGUACCCAUCGAAAGUGCUUUACAACCCGCAGGCCUUCUUCACACACGCGGCGUCGCUGGAUCAGGGUUUCCCCCAUUGUCCAAUAUUCCCCACUGCAGCCCCCCGUAGG
rnacentral:rRNA from 1 species